rnacentral:rRNA from 1 species
AGAGUUUGAUCAUGGCUCAGGAUGAACGCUGGCGGUAUGCCUAACACAUGCAAGUCGAACGAUGUCUUCGGACAUAGUGGCGGACGGGUGAGUAACGCGUGAGAAUCUGCCUCUAGGAUGGGGAUAACGGUUGGAAACGACCGCUAACACCCAAUAUGCCGUAAGGUGAAAAAUUUAUUGCCUGGAGAGGAGCUCGCGUCUGAUUAGCUAGUUGGUGGGGUAAGAGCUCACCAAGGCUUCGAUCAGUAGCUGGUCUGAGAGGAUGAGCAGCCACACUGGGACUGAGACACGGCCCAGACUCCUACGGGAGGCAGCAGUGGGGAAUUUUCCGCAAUGGGCGAAAGCCUGACGGAGCAAUACCGCGUGAGGGAGGAAUGCCUUUGGGUUGUAAACCUCUUUUCUCAGGGAAGAAGAUCUGACGGUACCUGAGGAAUAAGUAUCGGCUAACUCCGUGCCAGCAGCCGCGGUAAUACGGAGGAUGCAAGCGUUAUCCGGAAUCAUUGGGCGUAAAGCGUCCGCAGGUGGUUUCCAAAGUCUGCUGUUAAAGACUGGAGCUCAACUCCGGAACGGCGGUGGAAACUUGGAAACUAGAGUUCGGUAGGGGUAGCAGGAAUUCCCAGUGUAGCGGUGAAAUGCGUAGAUAUUGGGAAGAACAUCGGUGGCGAAGGCGUGCUACUGGACCGUAACUGACACUCAGGGACGAAAGCUAGGGGAGCGAAAGGGAUUAGAUACCCCUGUAGUCCUAGCUGUAAACGAUGGAAACUAGGUGUGGCUUGUAUCGACCCGAGCCGUGCCGUANCUAACGCGUUAAGUUUCCCGCCUGGGGAGUACGC